rnacentral:tRNA from 1 species
GUUUUAAUAAUUUAAUAAAAAUACUGGUCUUGUAAAUCAGAAAUAAGAGUAAUCUUUUAAAACU